rnacentral:misc_RNA from 1 species
GUGUGCUCAUACACAUACACAAUCCCUUCGCAAUCCACAGGUUGCGUCCUUUGUGCACUAAAAUACAGAGUCGAGCUUUCAAAGGUUUUGCCGAACAAUAAAGAAAUGCUGAAAAUUUACAGAUCUGAUACAUUCUAUUUCAUCCCUUUACUGACUUGGAUCACACUCAAAACCACUAGUUACCAUUGUCAGGCUCCAAAAAAGCAAGCCAACCAAUUCACUUCAUGAAGCAAUGGAAAUGGAGAGCACUCGAUGCAGUUACAAACUCAGGCACUUGUUGGAACCAAGUCGCAAGCUAAUCGGUUCAUACCUGCUGCGUCAACCAUGCAUACUGGCUACAGGUUGAUUAGUUAAACAACGGAUAGACAAAGGCGAAAUCUCAAAUAUUUAAAAAAUGGCUAGAUUUAUCAGUACAACUUUGCAAAAUUUGAAGACUUAGUCAAGCUGUUUUGUCCAGUCAAAAGGUUCCCAAUCUCGUGCGAAAUUUGCAACUGCCUGCUUUUGCGACUCUACUGACUCGUGCCUUCUGCGACGAAACAUAUCUUCCUCUGGCAAACGUAGCAUGCCUCUUAUUACAUUUAAGCCAAGGCUACUCUUAAACUGUGUCUCGUCGUCAAUCACGUGGACAAAACCCUUGUUUAGGCCAAACUCAACAUGGAAGUAAGGGAAGUCCUUGGGAAUUGAAC